UACGAAGGGGGCUAGCGUUGUUCGGAAUUACUGGGCGUAAAGCGCACGUAGGCGGGUUGUUAAGUCAGGGGUGAAAUCCUGGAGCUCAACUCCAGAACUGCCUUUGAUACUGGCAACCUAGAGACUGGAAGAGGUUAGUGGAAUUCCCAGUGUAGAGGUGAAAUUCGUAGAUAUUGGGAAGAACACCAGUGGCGAAGGCGGCUAUCUGGACGGUUUCUGACGCUAAGACGCGAAAGCGUGGGGAGCAAACAGG
rnacentral:rRNA from 1 species